UCAAGCGCGAAAAGGGCGUUUGGUGGAUGCCUAGGCAGCAAGAGGCGAUGAAGGACGUGAUACCCUGCGUUAAGCCAUGGGGAGCCGGGAAUAGGCUUUGAUCCAUGGAUCUCCGAAUGGGGAAACCCACCUGACAUUCCGCUAUAAUUGCUUCGGCAGCUUAUAGCUGGGUGAGACAGGUACUUUUACCCUGAAUACAUAGGGGUUUAAGGGCAAACCCGGGGAACUGAAACAUCUAAGUACCCGGAGGAAAGGAAAUCAACAGAGACUCCGUCAGUAGUGGCGAGCGAACGCGGACCAGCCGAGCCUGGAAGUCUGAGCAGAAUGGUCUGGAAAGGCCAGCGACAUGGGUGACAGCCCCGUAUGCGAAGGACCAAGGGACGUAUCAAGUAGGGCGGGACACGUGUAAUCCUGUCUGAAGAUCGGGGGACCACCCCCGAAGGCUAAGUACUCCUUGCUGACCGAUAGCGAACCAGUACCGUGAGGGAAAGGUGAAAAGCACCCCGACGAGGGGAGUGAAACAGUACCUGAAACCGGACGCCUACAAGCAGUCGGAGCCUCCUUGAGAGGUGACGGCGUACCUUUUGUAUAAUGGGUCAACGACUUGGUCUUACGAGCAAGCUUAAGCCGGUAGGUGUAGGCGCAGCGAAAGCGAGUCUUAAAAGGGCGCAUGAGUUCGUGGGAUCAGACCCGAAACCAGGUGAUCUAGCCAUGAGCAGGAUGAAGGUUGGGUAACACCAACUGGAGGUCCGAACCAACACCCGUUGAAAAGGGUCUGGAUGACUUGUGGCUAGGGGUGAAAGGCUAAUCAAACCUGGAGAUAGCUGGUUCUCCGCGAAAGCUAUUUAGGUAGCGCCUCGGACGAAUACCCACGGGGGUAGAGCACUGCAUGGAUGAUGGGGGCCCACAGCCUUACUGAGUCUAAGCAAACUCCGAAUACCGUGGAGUACUAUCCGGGAGACACACGGUGGGUGCUAACGUCCAUCGUGAAGAGGGAAACAACCCUGACCUGCAGCUAAGGCCCCUAAUUCGUGGCUAAGUGGGAAAGCAUGUGGGACGGCCAAAACAACCAGGAUGUUGGCUUAGAAGCAGCCAUCAUUUAAAGAUAGCGUAACAGCUCACUGGUCUAGACAAGCUGUCCUGCGGCGAAGAUGUAACGGGGCUCAAGCCACGAGCCGAAGCUCAGGAUGCACAGCGAUGUGCGUGGUAGCGGAGCGUUCCGUGAUAUAGCUCAUCAUGUUGUAUCCGUAGGGUGUGCAUUCAUUGCGCACCAUGACGGUGACCAACAUGGAGAGCUUUCUGUGAAGCCGGGCCGUAAGGCAUCCGGUGGAGAGAUCGGAAGCGAGAAUGUUGACAUGAGUAGCGACAAACAGGGUGAGAAACCCUGUCGCCGAAAGUCCAAGGGUUCCUGCUUAAAGCUAAUCUGAGCAGGGUAAGCCGGCCCCUAAGGCGAGGCCGAAAGGCGUAGUCGAUGGGAACCAGGUUAAUAUUCCUGGGCCAGUGGGAUGUGACGGAUCGCAGGUGUAGUUCGGUCUUAUCGGAUUGACCGGGCUGCUGAGCGGUUCCAGGAAAUAGCCCCACAUCAGACCGUACCCUAAACCGACACAGGUGGACUGGUAGAGCAUACCAAGGCGCUUGAGAGAACCACGUUAAAGGAACUCGGCAAAAUGCUCCCGUAAGUUCGCGAGAAGGGAGCCCCAUAUGUGCGCAAGCAUGUGUGGGGGGCACAAACCAGGGGGUGGCGACUGUUUACUUAAAACACAGGGCUGUGCGAAGCCGUAAGGCGACGUAUACAGUCUGACGCCUGCCCGGUGCUGGAAGAUUAAGAGGAGGGGUGCAAGCUCUGAAUUGAAGUCCCAGUAAACGGCGGCCGUAACUAUAACGGUCCUAAGGUAGCGAAAUUCCUUGUCGGGUAAGUUCCGACCUGCACGAAUGGCGUAACGAUCUCCCCGCUGUCUCUAACGUGGACUCAGCGAAAUUGAACUGUCUGUCAAGAUGCAGACUACCCGCGGUUAGACGGAAAGACCCCAUGAACCUUUACUCCAGCUUUGCACUGGUAUCAGGAUUGUGAUGUGCAGGAUAGGUGGUAGGCAUCGAAGCGGGGACGCCAGUUCUCGUGGAGCCGCCCUUGAGAUACCACCCUUCGCCAUCUUGAUAUCUAACCGCGGCCCGUAAUCCGGGUCCGGGACCCUGCAUGGUGGGGAGUUUGACUGGGGCGGUCGCCUCCCAAACAGUAACGGAGGCGCGCGAUGGUUGGCUCAGACCGGUCGGAAAUCGGUCGUUGAGUGCAAUGGCAGAAGCCAGCCUGACUGCGAGACUGACAAGUCGAGCAGAGACGAAAGUCGGUCAUAGUGAUCCGGUGGUCCCAAGUGGGAGGGCCAUCGCUCAACGGAUAAAAGGUACUCUGGGGAUAACAGGCUGAUGAUGCCCAAGAGUCCAUAUCGACGGCAUCGUUUGGCACCUCGAUGUCGGCUCAUCUCAUCCUGGGGCUGGAGCAGGUCCCAAGGGUAUGGCUGUUCGCCAUUUAAAGAGGUACGUGAGCUGGGUUUAGAACGUCGUGAGACAGUUCGGUCCCUAUCUGCCGUGGGUGCAGGAGACUUGAGAAGAGUUGACCCUAGUACGAGAGGACCGGGUUGAACGCUCCACUGGUGGACCAGUUGUCGUGCCAACGGCAGUGCUGGGUAGCUAUGAGCGGACAGGAUAACCGCUGAAGGCAUCUAAGCGGGAAGCCCCCUUCAAAACAAGGUCUCCCUUGAGGGCCGUGGAAGACCACCACGUCGAUAGGCCAGAGGUGUAAGCGCAGCAAUGCGUUCAGCUGACUGGUACUAAUUGCCCGAUUGGCUUGAUCUG
rnacentral:rRNA from 1 species